AUAUGACUUGAAAGCCAAAGGGAG
rnacentral:piRNA from 1 species